rnacentral:rRNA from 1 species
UACGUAGGGGGCAAGCGUUGUUCGGAAUUACUGGGCGUAAAGGGCGCGUAGGCGGCUCGGCACGUCCGUUGUGAAAUCGCCCGGCUCAACUGGGCGGGGUCGGCGGAUACGGCCGAGCUGGAGCAAGCUAGGGGGUAAUGGAAUUCCCGGUGUAGUGGUGGAAUGCGUAGAUAUCGGGAGGAACACCAGUGGCGAAGGCGGUUACCUGGAGCUUUGCUGACGCUGAUGCGCGAAAGCGUGGGGAGCGAUCCGG